GGCUGUAUUGCACAUACUGGUACAUCAUCCCUUAUGAUUAAAUGGAUCGAAACUAAAUAUAUGACCCACAAAUCCUGUACUUAAAGGUUCUCUACACCUUUCGGAAAACUAAAGGUCCAGUUUAUAGUAUUUUUAAAAAAUGAUUGCAUGAUGUUUUAUCAUAUGUACAAUUUGAAAAUGUUUGUAAACAUGGUGUAUAAGCAUAAUUUUUAUAAUAUUUGUGCAAUACAAAUAAACAAAAGUCACUAGUUAUUAGUUGAAAAAGUCAUAUUCACUAGCUCAUCUAUAUUCUACAAAGUAUGACACACAAAUGAUUCAAUAGAAAAAAAAAAUUUCCAUUGCAUUUACGGUAAUUCAUGUUGUGAUGUACAUGUACUGUCAGAUAUUUUCAUUUACAGGUGCUACGCCCCAGAGAGAAAAAACUUGGACUAGGUACUGCAUAUAUUCAUGGAAUAAAACAUGCAACAGGAAAUUUCAUCAUAAUAAUGGAUGCAGAUCUAUCUCAUCAUGUAAGAUUUAUAUUAAAUUAAUUACCUGUAGUAACAAUUGGCUUUAGAUCAUGGUAUCCACAACAAGCACAUAUGGUCUUAGGCGUUAGGCCAGUAACUCAAAAGUCGCUGGUUCAAUCCCUCAUUAGGUUAUUUAAUAUUGUGUGGUAUGCUCUUGGACAAGGCACUUUAUCUACUUUGUCUUAGUCAACCCAGCCCAAAUUGGGUAUGAAUAUUUGCUGGGAGUUAAUUCAGAAACUUUUUUUUUCAGCCAAAAUUCAUUCCAGAAUUCAUUCAGUAAGUGUUACUUUGCUUUUAUUGAUAUUGAAGAGGAUUGAUUAUAUUCCAAAGUUUUUUUUAUAAAAUUCAGUUACGGUAUUUAAACCAAAGUUUAUGCAUUUUUCUAAACUGAACAGGUUUUGAUCUUUACAGGAAGCAGAAAGAAGGAAAUUUUGAUGUGGUUUCAGGGACAAGAUACAUAGGAGAUGGGGGUGUGGCUGGAUGGGACUUUCGUAGAAAACUGGUCAGGUAAUGGCAUAGAAGUUU
rnacentral:misc_RNA from 1 species